UUAGCAGCUUCCCGCCGACCAGGUCUCACCGCUCGCCUGGUCCUCUCCAAACAACACUCCGAAGCCGCCGGUGACGUUUGGACAGUCUCACCACUGAUAGGCUUUCGCAACAUUGCGUCAAGCGAAUUUCUUGCCCAAGUUGAAAAAUUUGAACUCACGCGAACCAGCAAAUUUUCUGACAAACUCCUCAUUCGCGCCGCCCGGUGCUGGUCCAGAUUCUGCCCCGGUAAAAAGCCCAUGGAUGGAGCCAUGAAGUUGAGGUGCUGGUCAUGGUCUACUGGCUUAGCUGUGGAGAACCGCAAACGUGACAUGCGACUAGCCACAGUCUGCAGGACCGUCCACAACGUUGUGGAGGAAAUGAUGGUCAUCCUCCACAGAGCUAUUCGUUUCCCCAAAGCGGAGGAGAUGGAGGCCGGCUUUGUUCGCCUUGCUGGCCAUGAGGCAUUGUGGUGCUGCUGCCACAUCUGGAUUCUUCCUCCUGCAGAGCCGCAGAAGAAGUGUUACGUCAAGAGAAAGCCUGUUCCUUCAGUGAUGCGCUUGUCCAAAGGAGAUCACCGCAGCUGGGUACUUCCUGUGUAGCAGGUAGUAGCUGGUGAUUUUAGCUCCACCAUCGCUGGUUGGAGGCUUCCAGCAGACAACACAGGAGUCCUUUGUAGAGCUGAUGAUGAAGGGCUGCUGUGGGAUGCCAGGUUUUUCUGAGAAAUGAGCAGGAGGUUCGCUGACUCCGUACUGGUUCUGGGCAGAAACUCUGAAGUAGUAGCCAGCACUCUCGAUCAGGUUGGGGACACGGCAGGUGUUGCCAGAAAUGGAGGAGGACACCAGGUGCCACUGCUCGCCUUCUUUGGCCUCACGCUUCUCCACGAUGUAGUUAGUGAUCAUGGAGCCUCCGUCAUCCUUGGGAGCCUUCCAGCUGAUGACAACUGAGCUCUUCAGCAGGGCAUCAACAACCACGGGGCCCUCAGGGAUGGAUGGUUUAUCUGGGAAAAAAAACAAAUAAAGGAAUGAGCUAUAUUUAUACAUUUACAGCACAUAGAUCUAGUAAUAGCUAU